rnacentral:rRNA from 1 species
GAGGAGCCGAUCAAUUUUACAGUAGCAAAAUGGCGUGGGAAAGCCAACCAUAGUAGGUGAUAGUCCUGUAUGCGAAACUGUUUAAGCGACAUAUUAAGUAGGGCGGAACACGAGAAAUUCUGUCUGAAGAUGGGGGGACCAUCCUCCAAGGCUAAAUACUCCUGACUGACCGAUAGUGAACCAGUACCGUGAGGGAAAGGCGAAAAGAACCCCUGUUAGGGGAGUGAAAUAGAACCUGAAACCGUGUGCAUACAAGCAGUCGGAGCGGACUUGUUCCGUGACGGCGUACCUUUUGUAUAAUGGGUCAGCGACUUAUAUUCUGUAGCAAUGUUAACCGAAUAGUGGAUCCGUAGGGAAACCGAGUCUUAAUAGGGCGAAUGAGUUUCAGUGUAUAGACCCGAAACCGAUUGAUCUAUCCAUGAGCAGGUUGAAAGUGCCG